UUUCAAAGAUAAUAUUUAGCGCAGAAUAAUUAUUGGAACGUGUUUACACCGCGCCUGCUUCCUCCCUGCUGUCCUGUCGAUCUGCUAAGAUGGAGGGAGAAAGGUACCAGCCAGUCUGGCCACCACACUCAAAUCGACAACCACGCUGUCGUCACUGUAGAGAAAUUCAAUCAACAUGACCCAUUCUCCCCUGAGACUCCUCCAGAAGCAAGGAACUGCCAGUCCAGUACAUCACAGGAGGCAUUGCUAUUGGGCUGCAAAAAAAAUUCACCCUUCAGGAAGAUAUUUGACCACAGGU